rnacentral:lncRNA from 1 species
GGAAGUCUGAACUAAUCACAAAUUUGAAGGCCAUAUUAGAGGGAAGUUCAUCACAUAUAAAGAACAUAGAAACAUGUUAACUUGAAAGGAGACGUCGUGCAAUUGAAAAAUCAGUAGAUAAUAGACUACAAGAACAAUAUUGUCACAUAGGUCAGCAAUGUAGAAGAGAAGUAGCAUCUAGUAGCAUACAAAAGAUCCAGUGUAAAGACCUUAGAAGAGUUUAGCAAAAGUCAGAAUCAUAUGAAAAACAAGGAUUUCAAAACUCAGUUCAGAGAUUCGAAAUAUGUAUGAAAGAGUUAGGGUUUUUGAAAUAAAAAUCAGUUUCAAGCAAAUCACGUAGCCAAUGGUUUCUAAACUGGGAAGAACCCGCAAAUUUUAGGGUUUCUACCAUCAAUCGAGUGCAGAGAUGAGAGGACAAUUAAUUAAGUCAAAACAGGUUUAGAGGUCUCAGAAAAGAACUGAAACCUUUAACAUGUUCCUUUCAACAAUAGAAACUCAUGAGAAACGUGAUAGAAGAGUAACAUACGAACCACAGUAGAAUAGCCCAAAGAAAACAUAGUAGAAGAGACUAAUGCGAAACAUAAUGGAAAAAUCGAUAAGAACAGUAGGAGAAGCGUAUUAAGAAGUAUUAGAAGAAACUUAACUAGAAC